rnacentral:ncRNA from 1 species
UACCGUGAAGUGGAAUCAGAAAUAUGCCUGCAGCAUAAUCACGGUCUGACAAAAAGAAACUACAUAUAAGGCCAAAGUUGUCUGCAUGAGGUAUCCUAACAAACCAAAGUCCUGCUGUCCAGGGCGACAAAGUAAAUUUAACCGAUAUAUGGGGUGAAAGUUAUUG